UACGAAGGGGGCUAGCGUUGCUCGGAAUCACUGGGCGUAAAGGGUGCGUAGGCGGGUCUUUAAGUCAGGGGUGAAAUCCUGGAGCUCAACUCCAGAACUGCCUUUGAUACUGAGGAUCUUGAGUUCGGGAGAGGUGAGUGGAACUGCGAGUGUAGAGGUGAAAUUCGUAGAUAUUCGCAAGAACACCAGUGGCGAAAGCGGCUCACUGGCCCGAUACUGACGCUGAGGCACGAAAGCGUGGGGAGCAAGCAGG
rnacentral:rRNA from 1 species